rnacentral:rRNA from 1 species
CAGGACGAACGCUGGCGGCGUGCUUAACACAUGCAAGUCGAACGGAAUCCAUGGUGUAGCAAUACACCGGAAGAUUUAGUGGCGAACGGGUGAGGAUCACGUGAGAAACCUGCCCCAGACUUUGGGAUAACAGUUGGAAACGACUGCUAAUACCGAAUGACGUCGGAGAACCGCAUGGUUCACUGACGAAAGGAAAUCCGGUUUGGGAGGGUCUCGCGGCCUAUCAGCUUGUUGGUGGGGUAAUGGCCUACCAAGGCAACGACGGGUAGCUGGUCUGAGAGGAUGAUCAGCCACACUGGGACUGAGACACGGCCCAGACUCCUACGGGAGGCAGCAGUGGGGAAUCUUGCGCAAUGGGCGAAAGCCUGACGCAGCAACGCCGCGUGCGGGAUGAAGGCCUUCGGGCUGUAAACCGCUUUCAGCAGGAACGAAAAUGACGGUACCUGCAGAAGAAGCACCGGCUAACUAUGUGCCAGCAGCCGCGGUAA